UCCUACGGGAGGCAGCAGUGGGGAAUAUUGGACAAUGGGGGAAACCCUGAUCCAGCCAUGCCGCGUGUGUGAAGAAGGCCCUCGGGUUGUAAAGCACUUUCAGCGAGGAAGAACGCCUAGCGGUUAAUACCCGCUAGGAAAGACAUCACUCGCAGAAGAAGCACCGGCUAACUCCGUGCCAGCAGCCGCGGUAAUACGGAGGGUGCAAGCGUUAAUCGGAAUUACUGGGCGUAAAGCGCGCGUAGGUGGCUUGAUAAGCCGGUUGUGAAAGCCCCGGGCUCAACCUGGGAACGGCAUCCGGAACUGUCAAGCUAGAGUGCAGGAGAGGAAGGUAGAAUUCCCGGUGUAGCGGUGAAAUGCGUAGAGAUCGGGAGGAAUACCAGUGGCGAAGGCGGCCUUCUGGACUGACACUGACACUGAGGUGCGAAAGCGUGGGUAGCAAACAGGAUUAGAUACCCUGGUAGUCCACGCCGUAAACGAUGUCGACCAGCCGUUGGGUGCCUAGCGCACUUUGUGGCGAAGUUAACGCGAUAAGUCGACCGCCUGGGGAGUACGGCCGCAAGGUUAAAACUCAAAUGAAUUGACGG
rnacentral:rRNA from 1 species